rnacentral:rRNA from 1 species
UACAGAGGGUGAAAGCGUUGUUCGGAAUUACUGGGCGUAAAGCGCGUGUAGGCGGUCCAGCAAGUCGGUCGUGAAAGCCCUUGGCUUAACCAAGGAACUGCGAUCGAAACUACUAGACUAGAGUAUCGGAGGGGAUGGCGGAAUUCCCGGUGUAGAGGUGAAAUUCGUAGAUAUCGGGAGGAACACCUGUGGCGAAGGCGAGUCCCUGGACAACUCCUGACACUGAGGCACGAAAGCUAGGGGAGCAAACAGG